ACUCCUACGGGAGGCAGCAGUGGGGGAAUAUUGGACAAUGGGCGAAAGCCUGAUCCAGCCAUGCCGUGUGUGAAGAAGGCCUCGGGUUGUAAGACACUUUAAGUCGGGGAGGGAAGGGGCGUUCUGGCUAAUAUCCAGGAGCAUUGACGUUACCCGCAGAAUAAGCACCGGCUAACUCUGUGCCAGCAGCCGCGGUAAUACAGAGGGUGCAAGCGUUAAUCGGAAUUACUGGGCGUAAAGCGCGCGUAGGCGGUUUGUUAAGUCGGAUGUGAAAUCCCCGGGCUCAACCUGGGCACUGCAUCCGAUACUGGCUGACUAGAGUGUGGGGAGAGGAAGGUAGAAUUCCAGGUGUAGCGGUGAAAUGCGUAGAGAUCUGGAGGAAUACCGAUGGCGAAGGCAGCCUUCUGGCCUGACACUGACGCUGAGGUGCGAAAGCAUGGGGGAGCGAAAACAGGGAUUAGAUACCCUGGUAGUCCAUGCCGUAAACGAUGUCAACUAGCCGUUGGGGACCUUGAGUCUUUA
rnacentral:rRNA from 1 species